GCGAGAGUGGCGGAACUGGCAGACGCGCGGGAUUUAGGUUCCCGUGCCGCAAGGCGUGCGGGUUCGACUCCCGCCUCUCGCA
rnacentral:tRNA from 1 species